AACUUUCAGCAACGGAUCUCUUGUCUCUCGCAUCGAUGAAGAACGCAGCGAAAUGUGAUAAGUAAUGUGAAUUGCAGAAUUCAGUGAAUCAUCGAAUCUUUGAACGCACCUUGCGCUCCUUGGUAUUCCGAGGAGCAUGCCUGUUUGAGUGUCAUUAAAUUCUCAACCUUUGUUAGCUUUUGCUGAUAAUGGCUUGGAUGUGGGGGUUUUGCCGGCUUCGGUCAGCUCCCCUUAAAUGCAUUAGCCGGUGCCCUGUGUGGACUGUCUGUUGGCGUGAUAAUUAUCUACGUCACGUGAUGUCUGCAAUUCAAGCGCGCUGCUUCUAACCGUCUGUUCAUUCGGACAAUUCAAUGACAAUUUGACCUCAAAUCAGGUAGGACUACCCGCUGAACUUAAGCAUAUCAAUAAGCGGAGGCU
rnacentral:misc_RNA from 1 species